AGUGAACGCUGGCGGUAGGCCUAACACAUGCAAGUCGAACGGCAGCACAGUAAGAGCUUGCUCUUACGGGUGGCGAGUGGCGGACGGGUGAGGAAUACAUCGGAAUCUACUUUUUCGUGGGGGAUAACGUAGGGAAACUUACGCUAAUACCGCAUACGACCUACUGGUGAAAGCAGGGGAUCUUCGGACCUUGCGCGAUUGAAUGAGCCGAUGUCGGAUUAGCUAGUUGGCGGGGUAAAGGCCCACCAAGGCGACGAUCCGUAGCUGGUCUGAGAGGAUGAUCAGCCACACUGGAAGUGAGACACGGUCCAGACUCCUACGGGGGGCAGCAGUGGGGAAUAUUGGACAAUGGGCGAAAGCCUGAUCCAGCCAUACCGCGUGGGUGAAGAAGGCCUUCGGGUUGUAAAGCCCUUUUGUUGGGAAAGAAAAGCAGCAGGUUAAUACCCCGCUGUUCUGACGGUACCCAAAGAAUAAGCACCGGCUAACUUCGUG
rnacentral:rRNA from 1 species